UCACUCCGGAUCCAUUGUAAUGAGCUGCCGUCAGUGCGCCCAUAGGGGGAACAGGGACCCCACACUAAAGGGGGGGACACAUAGGGAUGGAUGGGAUCUAUAGGGAUGGAUGGGAUCUAUAGGGGAUGGAUGGGAUCUAUAGGGGAUGGAUGGGACCCACGGCGCUGCAGGAGGGCGUUGGUGGCAACCGUAGUGCCCAUCCGGAUCCAUUGUAAUGAGCUGCCGUCCAGUGCGCCCAUAGGGGGAACAGGGACCCCACACUAAAGGGGGGGACACAUAGG
rnacentral:lncRNA from 1 species